rnacentral:rRNA from 1 species
UACGUAGGGGGCAAGCGUUUGUCCGGAAUUAUUGGGCGUAAAGCGCACGUAGGCGGCUUUGCAAGUCGGAUGUGAAAUCCCUCGGCUUAACCAAGGAAGUGCAUCCGAAACUGCAGAGCUUGAGUACUUAAGAGGAUCGCGGAAUUCCCGGUGUAGAGGUGAAAUUCGUAGAUAUCGGGAGGAACACCAGUGGCGAAGGCGGCGAUCUGGGAAGAUACUGACGCUGAGGUGCGAAAGCGUGGGGAGCAAACAGG